rnacentral:misc_RNA from 1 species
CCAAAUUUUCUCUCCAAUGAAGCUCGUAAUCUUCCUCACAGUGCCUUUCUCCGAUUCUACCUGAACAUCUUCAAUCUGAACAGACGAAUUCUUCUCCGCCGAUUCCAACUCCUCCUUCAACACCAUCUCUUCAAUAUUCUCUUUUGACUCAUCGCAAACUCGCUUACCUUUCUCCUUCUUCUUCUUUUUCUUCAGACUCUUCUUCUUCUGGAGCAACCCUUCCUCGUAAGCUUCAAUGAUUUCGUGUAUCACUUGACGGUUGGGUGAAGUGUCCCAACGCGCCCAAAAACUCAUGUAACAACUAAAA